UUGAAUCUUUGGGUAUUUGGACAACGCGAUGGUUCUUGUGAGGUCCAAAAGGCCUCUGAAUAGAAGUCAUGCACUCGGUGCAAUAAAUAUCUGCAACCCUCUGAUCACCCUCUGCGGGUCCUCCCCCUGCAGGGUCACCGGUGUCUCCUUCACCUGGUCCUCCAGGCCCUGGUUCCGUUUCGAACACUUCGUCAUUGUACGCAGUUUUACCGCUCUGUUGUGUUCGUUGCACCGGCUCUUCUUCGUCCGACGCGACGAAAGGUUCGAAACGUAGGGAUUCAUUGGUUUCCACGGAUAAACGCUGGAAGGUGGACACCGGUGGACUCGUAUCCUUUUUAUCUGGAAGGCCCAUCAUCACCAUCUCUCCGCAUGAUCCACGAGGUCCACCAUUCUUCUCUGCCACCAACACGUACGGUUCGUUGGUAGGGAGCUCCACGUCGAUACCCGCCUUGUCCCACAUCCCAUAACGACCAGCAGUUCCACAUUCACCAUCGUUCUUCUCGUCUGCAGGCUCUGGCUCCUGCUCGGUCUCCGUGUCCUCCUCGUCAAUGACCUCCAAUCUGUCUCCAGUCGUAUACAUAUCCAUUUCACAAAAACCUGUGCCCUUCGAUAGUGGAUCACGUGCAGUUUUGAGCUGAUGGGCAGGUGUUGCCGUAUUGGUCAGGUUUCCAUUGCCCUCUCAAAAGAGAAACUCACCUGACAGUCUGUUCCACAGAUCCGUCCAGCCCAGGUUGUUCAAAGCCUCUGGUUCAGUCUGGCUGAGAAAACGGAAGGCAGAGAGUGCAAUCAACCAAUCAGAGCUGUAGCAUCCUGAGGCGAUCAUCCAGUCAGAGCCAGGGCAUUUUGAGAUGUGUAAACGAGUGGUCGACAUCAUCAUCCUUACGGCCAGCUGUGCACCUGUCCCAAGACUUUAAACAUAUCCGAUGCAAUGCUUGUUUUCAUUAUUAAAGCCCCUUUCAAUGUACUCCUUUCAACUGGAAAUCAAUUUUACAGAAAUAGAACGCGGAGGUCAUAUCACCAAAAAGACUGGGCGGACCACUCGACCCUCAUGUUCCCACGCAGCUGUUGCUGAUCUAUAGAUGAGUAUGACCAUUUCUCCUGCAGGAACUGCAUACAUGUGCACAUAGUCUAUGUGCUUUCAGCUCCUUCUCAUGUGAAUGUUGGAUUCACAGGUGCAGAAAUGGAGCUUAUUUGAAUUUACCAGACUUCACAAUGUCCAGAACUGUACUUUCCUCGAGGGUCCUCAUCGCACUUGUCCCUGGGUUUGAUUUGCACUUCAUUGUACGUCGCUCUGGAUGGGAGCGUCUACUAAAUGCCUGUAAUGUAAUGUAAUGUAAUGUAAUGUAAUGUAGUGUAGUGUAAUGUCCAUUUCAUGAGAAACCAAGGCAUGGCUGCACAGUAUGAGCCACAAGGGGGCAGUCUGUCUUGGCUACUGAGGGAGAGGAGGGAGAGUGGAGGGGUGAGGGCAGAAGAGAGAUGAAUGAGGGGAUGAUGAAUUAAAGCAAGGCUAAUUCAGAGAGGUCAUGACACAGCAAAUGGAGGAGUCCAUUUUUAAAACAGUUUGUUUAAGAAAAUCAUUGUUGACUUCCAAAUGCUGAAAGGACAAAAUGUACUUAUGAGGCAAAACAUUUUUAAUGUGA